GAUGAACGCUGGCGGCGUGCCUAAUACAUGCAAGUCGAGCGAACAGAUGAGGAGCUUGCUCCUCUGACGUUAGCGGCGGACGGGUGAGUAACACGUGGAUAACCUACCUAUAAGACUGGGAUAACUUCGGGAAACCGGAGCUAAUACCGGAUAAUAUAUUGAACCGCAUGGUUCAAUAGUGAAAGACGGUUUUGCUGUCACUUAUAGAUGGAUCCGCGCCGCAUUAGCUAGUUGGUAAGGUAACGGCUUACCAAGGCGACGAGGCGUAGCCGACCUGAGAGAGUGAUCGGCCACCCGGGAACUGAGACACGGUCCAGGGUCCUACGAGAGGCAGCAGUAGGGAAUCUUCCGCAGUGGGCGAAAGCCUGACGGAGCAACGCCGCGUGAGUGAUGAAGGUCUUCGGAUCGUAAAACUCUGUUAUUAGGGAAGAACAAAUGUGUAAGUAACUAUGCACGUCUUGACGGUACCUAAUCAGAAAGCCACGGCUAACUACGUG
rnacentral:rRNA from 1 species